rnacentral:rRNA from 1 species
AUGCGGUUUCCUAGGCUUUUUGCGAUUUGUGUCGAUCCGGCCAUCCUUGUAUCGGCGGCUGCUUUGGAUGAGGCAUGGAACAUCGCGUUCCGCCGCUCAUUCGAACCAGUUGAGGUACAUGAAUGGAUAGACUUGAGGGAAAUAGUCCCUCUUCCUCUGUCCCAGGACCCCGAUUCUGUCUCUUGGAGUCUUUCUCCUACGGGAGAAUUCUCCGUUAGCUCGGCGUAUCAGACGUUGUGUCGUCUGCCGGUUCUACCGUGGUUAUCCCCACUGUGGAAGGCUCAGAUGCCCCUGAAGAUUAAGAUUUUCGUAUGGCAGCUUCUCAGAGAUCGUUUACCCUCAGGGACUAAGGUGCUAAAACGCCAUGGUCCCAGAAAUGGUCUCUGCCCUUUGUGCCACGUCCCGGAAAUGGGCACGCACAUUUUGUUCUCUUGCAUAGCAGCGCAGACGCUUUGGUGCUUUGUUCGGGAGGCUUUAGGACCGGAGUGGGAAGCCCGUGACGUUGCAGAGUUUCUGCAAGUACGGGCCACUCAGGUUGGCCGUAAGCGCCUACUGUUCUGGCUCAUCUUCGCGGCUAUGGUGUGGACUCUUUGGACUACUCGCAACAAGAUGGUGAUUGAGUGGGUGUUCCCGUGACGUGCUUCUGAUUCGUUCUUCAAAUUUCUGGCUUUCUUGCAGCACUGGCAUCCGCUUGCUAGGCCGAGGUAUCGUGACCGGCUUCAGCUUUACCUGGAUGCUCUGGUGGGUUCCGCGCGUCGUCUCUCUGGCCGCUCGCCUGUUCCGUAG